GCGAAUAACCCCAAAUGGGCAGGGACUAGUCUGCAAAACUAGUAUGCCGUCAGUUCGAUUCUGACUGUUCGCU
rnacentral:tRNA from 1 species